AACGAACGCUGGCGGCAGGCUUAACACAUGCAAGUCGAGCGCCCCGCAAGGGGAGCGGCAGACGGGUGAGUAACGCGUGGGAAUCUACCGUGCCCUACGGAGUAGCUCCGGGAAACUGGAAUUAAUACCGUAUACGCCCUACGGGGGAAAGAUUUAUCGGGGUAUGAUGAGCCCGCGUUGGAUUAGCUAGUUGGUGGGGUAAAGGCCUACCAAGGCGACGAUCCAUAGCUGGUCUGAGAGGAUGAUCAGCCACAUUGGGACUGAGACACGGCCCAAACUCCUACGGGAGGCAGCAGUGGGGAAUAUUGGACAAUGGGCGCAAGCCUGAUCCAGCCAUGCCGCGUGAGUGAUGAAGGUCUUAGGAUUGUAAAGCUCUUUCACCGGUGAAGAUAAUGACGGUAACCGGAGAAGAAGCCCCGGCUAACUUCGUGCCAGCCGCCGCUGUAACAC
rnacentral:rRNA from 1 species